AACCUUAUGGACCUGCGGGCGUAUACCUGCGGAGGGAUCAUUAUUGAAUAAACUUGGUCAAGCUGUUGCUGGUCCUUCGGGGCAUGUGCACGCUUGCCACCAAUUUUAACCACCUGUGCACCUUUUGUAGAUUGGAAACGUUUCUCGAGGCAACUCGGAUUGAGGACUGCUGUGCGCAAGCCAGCUGUUCUUGUGUUUCUCAACCUAUGUUUUCAUAUACUCCUAAUGUAUGUAUCAGAA
rnacentral:misc_RNA from 1 species